GAUGAACGCUAGCGGCAGGCCUAACACAUGCAAGUCGAGGGGUAGCAGGAUUAAGCUUGCUUAAUUGCUGACGACCGGCGCACGGGUGCGUAACGCGUAUGCAACCUACCUUAUACUGGGGUAUAGCCCGGAGAAAUUCGGAUUAAUCCCCCAUAGCACUAAUGAAUCGCAUGGUUUAUUAGUUAAAGCAUUGCGGUAUAAGAUGGGCAUGCGUCCUAUUAGCUAGGUGGUGAGGUAACGGCUCACCAUGGUUACGAUAGGUAGGGGGCCUGAGAGGGUGGUCCCCCACACUGGUACUGAGACACGGACCAGACUCCUACGGGAGGCAGCAGUGAGGAAUAUUGGUCAAUGGGCGCAAGCCUGAACCAGCCAUGCCGCGUGCAGGAAGAAUGCCCUAUGGGUUGUAAACUGCUUUUAUUUGGGAAUAAACCUCUUUACGUGUAGAGAGCUGAAGGUACCAAAUGAAUAAGCACCGGCUAACUCCGUGCCAGCCGCCGCAGUAA
rnacentral:rRNA from 1 species